rnacentral:rRNA from 4 species
AAACGACUCUCGGCAACGGAUAUCUCGGCUCUCGCAUCGAUGAAGAACGUAGCGAAAUGCGAUACUUGGUGUGAAUUGCAGAAUCCCGUGAACCAUCGAGUCUUUGAACGCAAGUUGCGCCCCAAGCCUUCUGGCUGAGGGCACGUCUGCCUGGGUGUCACA